GGAGGAUCACUUGAGCCCAGGAUGUUGAGGCCGCAGUGAGCCGUGAUCACACCACUGCACUCCAGCCUGAGUGACAGAGCAAGACCCUGUCUCA
rnacentral:miRNA from 1 species